AUUUGUUUCGUUUAGUUGUGUGUGGUUUUAUUGUUAUUUUAGUAGCUCUUGUGUUUUUUGAGAUUUAUCCUCUAUUUAUUUUUAUUGUUUGAAAUGUUUUGGGAUGUUUUGCUUUCAGAUUGGGGAUGAGUUCUUCGUUAUUGAUGGCGAUAUCUUGAAAUGGCGCCUCACGGCGAUUAACUCUCCCAUUCGCUUCGAUGAGGCUAGACUCUAUCAUGUCCCUCUCCUCGUGUGAUGAUGUUCUUGGGUGAUUUAAGUGCUUUGGAGAUUGAAUUAUUGAUUGAUGCUGGGGCUAUUUUCUGUUGGGGUUUGCUCCUUUGUGAUUUUCUACCGAAUCUGUUGUUUGACUUUGUAUGUCUGGAUUUUUGCUUCUUGUCUCAUGUUUUGAAUUUUUGCAUGUCACUGUUUGGUCUGUGCAAUUUGUUCUUUG
rnacentral:lncRNA from 1 species